CUCCCGCUUUGGCUAAUUGCAAGCAACUAAUGCUGGGUUACAGGUUGAGAAGGAACGCACAUAAUUGACUCCGGCCGCCAGGAUGAGCCUGCUAGUCUGCUGGCAUGAGAAAUCCAGAGUGACAGAGCAGCAGCCAUACUGCAACGUUAAACGGGAAUAUUGCUGCGCCCCAUUGUAGAUGCAUUUCCUUUCUGAGAACCUUGAUCUCUGGACCCACAGAAUUUAAUCUGCAAGGACAAGUUUCCCAAGAAUGGAUCACUGACACCACGUGGGAGACAGCGGGAACUGAGUGCUAUGUUUGGGACCGUUCUCCAGCCUCCCAGAAAUGUAAAGUUGGAUUUUCUAAUAACUUCUAAUCAUGGAAAUCACAUACCCACUAUGUGCUAGACACUAUUGUAGGUACUGGAGAAUGAGAAUAAGCAGCCCUGCCCUCAAGGAGCCUUUUUUCUGGUGUUAGCACAGUGCAUAAGGUGGUGCCUUAAAGACCGACCUAUGACAUGGCGUGGCUGUCCUGAUGACUUGCCUAUUUUACGUCUGACCCAUGCUAGGUAGAAAGUGAGUGAGUGACAUGCAAACCCUGGUCUUUGGCUGCUAGAGUGUAUGAGCCGUCCAUUAUCAUGCUGACCUGCCUCGCAGAGCAAUAGUGACUUCAGUAUUGGGAACUGAUGGUGAUGAAGGUAAUAAUAGAGGAACAUUAGCCCUGAGCUAACAUCCACUGCCGAUCCUCCUCUUUUUGCUGAGGAAGAUUGGCCCUGAGCUAACAUCGUACCCAUCUUCCUUUACUUUAUAUGUGGGAUGCCUGCCACAGCAUGGCUUGAUAAGCAGUGUGUAGCUCCGUGCCCAGGAUCCGAACCCAGGAACCCCAGACUGCCAAAGUGGAACAUACA
rnacentral:lncRNA from 1 species